GAUGAAGAACGCAGCGAAACGCGAUAAGUAAUGUGAAUUGCAGAAUUCAGUGAAUCAUCGAAUCUUUGAACGCACAUUGCGCCCGCCAGCAUUCUGGCGGGCAUGCCUGUUCGAGCGUCAUUUCAACCCUCAAGCUCUGCUUGGUGUUGGGGCCCUACGUCUGACGUAGGCCCUCAAAGACAGUGGCGGACCCUCUCGGAGCCUCCUUUGCGUAGUAACUAACGUCUCGCACUGGGAUUCGGAGGGACUCUUGCCGUAAAACCCCCAAUUUUUACAGGUUGACCUCGGAUCAGGUAGGAAUACCCGCUGAACUUAAGCAUAUCAAUAAGCGGAGGA
rnacentral:misc_RNA from 1 species